rnacentral:lncRNA from 1 species
CUUUUCUUUUCUUUUCUUUUCUUUUCUUUUCUUUUCUUUUCUUUUCUUUUCUUUUCUUUUCUUUUCUUUUCUUUUCUUUUCUUUUCUUUUCUUUUCUUUUCUUUUCUUUUCUUUUCUUUUCUUUUCUUUUCUUUUCUUUUCUUUUCUUUUCUUUUCUUUUCUUUUCUUUUCUUUUCUUUUCUUUUCUUUUCUUUUCUUUUCUUUUCUUUUCUUUUCUUUUCUUUUCUUUUCUUUUCUUUUCUUUUCUUUUCUUUUCUUUUCUUUUCUUUUCUUUUCUUUUCUUUUCUUUUCUUUUCUUUUCUUUUCUUUUCUUUUCUUUUCUUUUCUUUUCUUUUCUUUUCUUUUCUUUUCUUUUCUUUUCUUUUCUUUUCUUUUCUUUUCUUUUCUUUUCUUUUCUUUUCUUUUCUUUUCUUUUCUUUUCUUUUCUUUUCUUUUCUUUUCUUUUCUUUUCUUUUCUUUUCUUUUCUUUUCUUUUCUUUUCUUUUCUUUUCUUUUCUUUUCUUUUCUUUUCUUUUCUUUUCUUUUCUUUUCUUUUCUUUUCUUUUCUUUUCUUUUCUUUUCUUUUCUUUUCUUUUCUUUUCUUUUCUUUUCUUUUCUUUUCUUUUCUUUUCUUUUCUUUUCUUUUCUUUUCUUUUCUUUUCUUUUCUUUUCUUUUCUUUUCUUUUCUUUUCUUUUCUUUUCUUUUCUUUUCUUUUCUUUUCUUUUCUUUUCUUUUCUUUUCUUUUCUUUUCUUUUCUUUUCUUUUCUUUUCUUUUCUUUUCUUUUCUUUUCUUUUCUUUUCUUUUCUUUUCUUUUCUUUUCUUUUCUUUUCUUUUCUUUUCUUUUCUUUUCUUUUCUUUUCUUUUCUUUUCUUUUCUUUUCUUUUCUUUUCUUUUCUUUUCUUUUCUUUUCUUUUCUUUUCUUUUCUUUUCUUUUCUUUUCUUUUCUUUUCUUUUCUUUUCUUUUCUUUUCUUUUCUUUUCUUUUCUUUUCUUUUCUUUUCUUUUCUUUUCUUUUCUUUUCUUUUCUUUUCUUUUCUUUUCUUUUCUUUUCUUUUCUUUUCUUUUCUUUUCUUUUCUUUUCUUUUCUUUUCUUUUCUUUUCUUUUCUUUUCUUUUCUUUUCUUUUCUUUUCUUUUCUUUUCUUUUCUUUUCUUUUCUUUUCUUUUCUUUUCUUUUCUUUUCUUUUCUUUUCUUUUCUUUUCUUUUCUUUUCUUUUCUUUUCUUUUCUUUUCUUUUCUUUUCUUUUCUUUUCUUUUCUUUUCUUUUCUUUUCUUUUCUUUUCUUUUCUUUUCUUUUCUUUUCUUUUCUUGUUUAUUAACUUUUAUUUUACUAUUAACUAUUAACUUUUUACAGACUUUAAUCUGUUUGUAUCAUCACUCUAAAAUGUUUUAAAACAAGCAAAAAUUUUGCAUUUUAAGUAAAAAUGGCAGCUUAUUACUGUGUUGUUAUUAAACUGAAUACAUAAGGGUAAUAAUAAUAUUAACAAUAAAACAGAAGAAACUGAUUUGCAUGCCCAAAACAUUGUUAAAAAGUUGAAGGUGUUUUUUUUUUAUUGAUCCAGUAAGAAUCCACCUGACAACGGCUCAGAAAGUCCUACGUAGCAACCACUUAGCAAUGCACUGACAACCACUUCGAACACCUUAGCAAGAAACUGUUCACCUUUUCUGUUUCACUAAAAUCAG